GGGACAACAGUCAAGCCCGGUACAAUAGGUCAGCGAAUCAGAUGGAUUCUGGCUCUGUUACCCAGGCUAGAGUGCAAUGGCACAAUCUCGGCUCACUGCAACCUCCGCCUUCUGGAUUCAAGCAGUUCUCCUGCCUCAGCCUCCCAUGUAGCUGGGACUACAGCCUGCAUUAUCCUGCCCUGGUUCAAGACAUGGGAAUGUGGUCAUGACAAUCCUGAACACAGCCUUAAACCUGGGAGCCCUGGAUCUGUUGGCCAUUUGGUUGGAAAGGUCUAAAAGAAGUGACAAGGAAGUAGUGUAAAGAAUGUAUAUGCAUUGUGUGUGUGUGUGUGUGUGUGCGCGCGUGUAGGAUGAUACAUGGGGAUGAAACAGGCUGUGUUUAUAGAAAAGUUUUGGAAAUAAGAAUAUGCAAAUGACCCUAAGUCACAUGUGGACUUCAGUCCUAGUUCAGACACUUAGCAUCUGAACAAACUGGACAAGACAUUUAUCCACCUGGACUAGUCUGCUGGGAAAUGACCUGUUGACCUCAUGAAGGUGUUGGGAGGAUCUGUGGAGUUCAAGAAGAAAGUGAGUAAAAUCCUGAUAUAUGCAGUGCACUACACUGAAGACUAGAAGGGUAUGGAGGAAAAGAAGUGGUGGUCCCUGAUUUGAAGGCGUUUCCAUUGAAAUUAGGGGAAACAGACAUGUAAAACUAAGUCUAAAUGCUACAGAAUGGAAAAUGUGCAACCAUGAAAUGAACCUCUCUUGAGCUCUUUACUGUAUGGCAGGUUAAAAGAUGUGAAUCUCACAACAGACUUACAAAGUGGGUAUUAUUAGCCACCCCAUUUUGCAGAUGAGAAAACUGAUAGCUAGAAAUCUUUAAUCUUUACUCCAAAUGCCAUGAUGCUAAAUUCCACAGCCAAAAUUCAUCUCAGGUCUAUGUAACCUGAAACUUUACUUGUAUCAUCAACCCAUGCUAUAAAUGGGAACCUUUUGCUCAACUUGGAAAAGGAGAAAGAACCACAAAAACAGAGCAGAGACACCCUUUAAAACUGUGUCGUUUUAAGGCCAAGCAUGAUGGCUUAUGCCUGUAAUCCCAGCACUUUGGGAGGCAGAGGCAGGUGGAUCACCUGAGGUCAAGAGUUCGAGACCAGUCUGGCCAAUAUGGUGAAACCCUGUCUCUACUAAAAAUACAAAAAAAAAAAAAAAUUGGCCUG